AUUGAACGCUGGCGGCAGGCCUAACACAUGCAAGUCGAGCGGAUGAAGGGAGCUUGCUCCUGGAUUCAGCGGCGGACGGGUGAGUAAUGCCUAGGAAUCUGCCUGGUAGUGGGGGAUAACGUCCGGAAACGGGCGCUAAUACCGCAUACGUCCUGAGGGAGAAAGUGGGGGAUCUUCGGACCUCACGCCCUCAGAUGAGCCUAGGUCGGAUUAGCUAGUUGGUGGGGUAAAGGCCUACCAAGGCGACGAUCCGUAACUGGUCUGAGAGGAUGAUCAGUCACACUGGAACUGAGACACGGUCCAGACUCCUACGGGAGGCAGCAGUGGGGAAUAUUGGACAAUGGGCGAAAGCCUGAUCCAGCCAUGCCGCGUGUGUGAAGAAGGUCUUCGGAUUGUAAAGCACUUUAAGUUGGGAGGAAGGGCAGUAAGUUAAUACCUUGCUGUUUUGACGUUACCAACAGAAUAAGCACCGGCUAACUUCGUG
rnacentral:rRNA from 1 species